AAAUUGAAGAGUUUGAUCAUGGCUCAGAUUGAACGCUGGCGGCAGGCCUAACACAUGCAAGUCGAACGGUAACAGGAAGCAGCUUGCUGCUUUGCUGACGAGUGGCGGACGGGUGAGUAAUGUCUGGGAAACUGCCUGAUGGAGGGGGAUAACUACUGGAAACGGUGGCUAAUACCGCAUAACGUCGCAAGACCAAAGAGGGGGACCUUCGGGCCUCUUGCCAUCAGAUGUGCCCAGAUGGGAUUAGCUAGUUGGUGAGGUAACGGCUCACCAAGGCGACGAUCCCUAGCUGGUCUGAGAGGAUGACCAGCCACACUGGAACUGAGACACGGUCCAGACUCCUACGGGAGGCAGCAGUGGGGAAUAUUGCACAAUGGGCGCAAGCCUGAUGCAGCCAUGCCGCGUGUAUGAAGAAGGCCUUCGGGUUGUAAAGUACUUUCAGCGGGGAGGAAGGUGUUGUGGUUAAUAACCGCAGCAAUUGACGUUACCCGC
rnacentral:rRNA from 2 species